AAGCGAAUGCAGUGAAUGUCCAGGAGGAAAGACAAGUUCUACGUUUACAAAGAAAGUGGCUGAAUGCUUUCCUGAUGUAAGUCACUGUGCUGAAGGACAGUAUGGAUACGGAAACAACUGCACUCAAUGUCCAGGAGGAAAGACUAGUUAUGCGGAAAAAAAGAAAGUGGCUGAAUGCUUCCCUAAUGUAAGUUACUGCGCUGAAGGACAGUAUGGAUAUGAAAGCAAAUGCAGUGAAUGUCCAGGAGGAAAGACAAGUUCUACGUUUACAAAGAAAGUGGCUGAAUGCUUCCCUGAUGUAAGUCACUGUGCUGAAGGACAGUAUGGAUACGGAAAUUACUGCACUCAAUGUCCAGGAGGAAAGACAAGUUAUGCAGAAACAAAGAAAGAGGCUGAAUGCUUUCCUGAUGCAAAACAAGCUCAUGAGUGCAAGUGUGAACCACAAGCAAAUAUCGCUGUACCUGUAGGAACAUGUGCUGGAGGGUUGGUCUUCAUCCUGGCUAUUCUUCUAGUGUAGUGUUUGACAUACUGAGAUAAAGUUAUUGGUUAGAAAGACAAAGCAACUUGAUGCAGGAUAUAUCAACUUAAACUUAUAUCAACAGACUUAUUUACCAAACAAGUUCAAAUAAUCAAUCAGCUCUGCAGUGGGAAUCGAACAAUAUUAUAUUAAAGACAAGCCAAUCGAGUGAUGAUUAAGACAAGCCGAUCGAGUGAUGAUGUGUGUUGUGGCUGUGGUAUGAGUGCGGUUUUUAAAGAUGGUGAAUGUUUAUUGUUUAUGCAUACCACAUUGCACUAGCUUUUCUUGUUUUUGCUCCUGCAUAUGAGCACACAAAACUUCAUAGUUUUCGCAAUAUUUUGGUUUGAUUUCAUUUAAAGCUAUUGAAGUGUUGGAGUGAGUUCAUACUAAACAUGAACCAUAUAGUGUGCAGUGCCCUGAACAGAGGGAUUAUUAUUCACUAUUAUUUUAUAUGUUUUAAUUGGUCAUUAGAACCGCCUGCUUUCAAUCAUUCAAUCAUAUGUUUUGGGGACAAUAUUUUUGAACUUUCAGAGUAUUUCGAUAUUGCACAGGCUUACUAUUACUCUUUUACUAAUUAUUCUCCUCUUCUUAUUUCAAACUAUAGAAUAUACUAAUAUAGAUAGCACAAAUACAGUUUUAGAAAGUA